rnacentral:rRNA from 1 species
UUGACCUCAAAUCAGGUAGGAAUACCCGCUGAACUUAAGCAUAUCAAUAAGCGGAGGAAAAGAAACCAACCGGGAUUGCCUUAGUAACGGCGAGUGAAGCGGCAAAAGCUCAAAUUUGAAAUCUAGUACCUUCGGUGCUCGAGUUGUAAUUUGUAGAGGGCUACCUUUGGGCCGUUCCUUGUCUAUGUUCCUUGGAACAGGACGUCAUAGAGGGUGAGAAUCCCGUGUGGCGAGGAGUGCGGUUCUUUGUAAGGUGCCUUCGAAGAGUCGAGUUGUUUGGGAAUGCAGCUCUAAGUGGGUGGUAAAUUCCAUCUAAAGCUAAAUACAGGCGAGAGACCGAUAGCGAACAAGUACAGUGAUGGAAAGAUGAAAAGAACUUUGAAAAGAGAGUGAAAAAGUACGUGAAAUUGUUGAAAGGGAAGGGCAUUUGAUCAGACAUGGUGUUUUGCGCCCCCUGCUCCUUGUGGGCGGGGGACUCUCGCAGCUCACUGGGCCAGCAUCAGUUUUGGCGGCCGGACAAAUCCGCAGGAAUGUAGCUUAUGCCCUCGUGGUAUAGUGUUAUAGCCUGUGGGAAUACGGCCAGCCGGGACUGAGGACUGCGACGCAAGUCAAGGAUGCUGGCAUAAUGGUUAUAUGCCGCCCGUCUUGAAACACGGACC